UGUUAAGUCUAAUUGUUGAAUGUUGCCAUUGUGUUUCUUAAAUUUGUACAGUCUUAGUUUAAGCAGUAGGAUCAAAGCCAUUCCUUUGAUUCUGACCACCUCUCCAGCCACUCUGUGCUGGAGGAGGUUUUAUUGUAGAUACAUCCUAUCUGAAAGAUCUGUUUCUUUUGAUGUAAGCUUCCUGGGUUUAUGACCCUUUGGUCAGCAGGAGGUAACACACACACACACACACACCACACACACACACACUCAGUGUAUACAUUUACAUACAGUGCCUUGUCUUUGUAACCAAAGGGGGGUUGCAAGGGGAGGUGCUUUGUAAACUAUUGUUUGAAGUUUGUCAAUAAAAGGCAGCGAGAGGAGGCCACCAUUUUUUGGGGGUUCUUUGUCGUGCUGGACACAGACGAGGCCUCCCUUGUGCAAGUAAUGGAUCGAUCGACUGUCUUGUUUUCUUCAUGAUGAAUAAGUCUCUAGAAUUAGCGGGGUUUGUGGAAACACAGACCCAACAUUUAUUUGGUCCUUCGGAGCCGGAGCCUAACACAUUGCAUCCACCGAGGAGAGGGAGAGGACGCCACCGCAACGUCUGGGAUGAUUGACGUAAAGCCCUGGUGUUUUUGGCUUGCCACCAGGCCGGGAAGUUUGCACCUGACCUCCCCUCGGGAUGGAUGACGAUUGACGGGAUCCAGAGACUCUUCCCAUGAACGUAAACAAACAGUGAGUACAGAAGGCCUUAGAGAGCGUCUCUAUAACCGCGUGAAUGAAUGUGGGAUCCUAGAAACGCGUCACCGUGAUUCUGCGUGAAACGUUUGAGUCCCGGGGAGCGCUGGUCACGAGAGCGCACGUGGACCCAAAACAAUAGAGAGCGGCUACGGGCUGUGCGUUAAACGUGAGUCCGGGAGCGCGCUAGCCGCGUGAGAGAGACGCAGGCUUCUCCGCCGUUUGGGGCGUAGAGAGUUCUCCGCCAUUUGGGGCGUGGAGAGAACCUAGGUUCAGAGUCCGGAAUCUCCGCCAUUUGGGGCGUUGGAGAGUUUUCAACAGAGAGCGCUAGCUGUGCGUGCAGACGCAAGCGAUAGGCCUAUGUUGUGUGUGUGUGCGGGCCAGACGUGGUCUGCGUGAGUGUGGCUGAUUGUUGUCUUGUAAUGGAGAAUAAAAUGUGUAAGUCUGCCUUAGAAGGAGAUGUAAAAUUUAUGCAGAAAGUUUUACCAGGCAGCACGCAGUAUGUAGGUUGUUGGUAUAAGAAAUGUGGAUUUGAAGGGACAUUAGUGGAAGUUAAGUGUAAAAUGCUGGUAGAAAGAAUAUCUGUAAGUGUAGCAGGUAAAACAGGUAAAGCGAAGCAGAGGAAGGAAUUGCAGUUAGCAGUUGCUAAGUUGUGGCUGGAGCAGGCUCAGAAGAGGAGAGAAGCAAGAAUGUUAAAAGAGCAAUAUUGCAAGAAGUAGUUGUGAAACCUGAGGAUGAAACUACAGCUCAAUCCACUGCAACUACUCUAGAACAACACCGUAGAAAAGCAUUAGGAAGAGCAAGAAUGUUAGCAGAAAGUAGAGUCAGAGAAGAGCGUGAGAGAGCAGAGGUAGAAGUGGAGGAGAGAUUAGAGGCAUAUUAGGAGCAGCAUUGAGUCCAAGACAGACUAGGCAAGAGAGGAGACAGAAAGGAAAGAAAGUGAACACAAAAGUUACAACUACAUAUCCAUCCCUGACACAACACAAAAAAAACAAAAAACAUAUGGUGUUUCUGUAACAGAGUGUGAAGAUGAAGAAAGUUUUUCUCCUGAUCAAUUCCGUGAGUGUGAGAGUGUCUGACGUCAUGGUGUGUGUGAAAGGUAUCCAGCUGGGGCAGACGUGAUUCUGCAGGUCACCUGCCCAGUGGACAAAAAGAAAUAAAAUAGUUGUGUGGAUGAAUGAUAGCAUGAUGAGUGUUUGGUGUUUCUCAGUCUGAAACAGCUGUAAUGCUAUUUUCUGAUUGGAGAAAAGUACAGUUAAAGAAAAAAAAACAGAGAGAGAUGUGUGUUGUUUUAAGCAGUGAUGAGAAUAAUGGAAGUGUGGUGAGAGAUGAACACAAAAACAUACUGAAAAUGCAUUAACUAUACUAACCCCACAUGCAUAUACACAUACAAUGAUACUCGUGAGACCAGACAGCAUCUUAAGCAUGAGAUUCUGUUUGUCAUCUUGUCCAAGUCACUAGUAAGAUGAAGGUGAUACAUAGACUAGUGGACUGAAUAUUAUAGGAGGACAGAUGGUUGCAUCAUAGAGGAGGAAACAGAAUGCUGAUGAGAGGUCUUAAAUGAGUGAGUUGAGUGAGCUGAUUGUGAGUUUCUGGUGUGUGAAGAAGUUUUACCAUGGCACACAUUUAGUUACAUGAGAACUAAAACUUAUUAUGUGCUAAGACAACAGGGUUAUGCUGUAUGUUGUGUGUAUGGCUGAUUGGAUGAAUGUUUGAGAUUAAACUGGCUGUUUGAUUUGUCUUUUAUUACUAAAGUUGAACCUGCCAAUUGGGUUGUUACGAUUUAUCCCCCUGGCAUGAAGAACACGUGUCAUGAUUUAAACAAGGCCUAUCUUUCCUUUAUUUUCUUUGAUUUCUUUUAUUUUCUUUCUUUUGUUUUGUUACUUUCAUGGUGCACUGAAAGUUUUGUUUGAUGAUCUCUGUUUGAGCAGAUCUGCACGAUUAGAACCGAAGCGUCGUCGAGAAAACUGUUGCAAAGUGAGCUUCUCCAAAAUUAAAAUGGGCUCUUAUUUGGGACAAUCAGGAAACAAGUUCCUGUCCAAAAGGAUUCAACGAGGAAAUCCAGUCUAAAUUAUUUUUCUUUUUGAAAUGACGUUGUUUUGCUGAGCGUGGAAACGAAUGCGACGAUAAUUUCCACAAUUAGCAAAAGAAGGAAUCACUGAGUGAAUGAGUAAGAAUUUUAAAAUAAAUGGGGAACUGACUGACUGACAAAAGCUGACAAGACUGACUGACUUAACACCAUUGUGUGAAGUUAACCCCCACCUGACAAAGGUGUGGCUGUAUCUCUGUGUGUGUCUCUGUUGCAGGAGCAGGAGACCACAGGAGGAAACUUGGGUCACAUGACUAUGUGAACUCUGAAAAUUUAACCUUUUAGUUUAUAUUUUUCUGUGUCUGUGAAUUUACCAUGUGUGUGUUAUUCAUAGGCUUGUGUUGCUCACAGAGAUAACUGUGACAAAGUAUGCACACACCUGCGCAGCGCUAAUAUUUGCAUUUUCUUUUCUUACAGCAUGCCAGUUCUUCAUGUGAAUUGAUGAUGCGAUUUAUACCAGGACAACUGGUUGAUGUUCUUUCCCACUACAGGAUUUCUGGGUUUAUAUGUGAAUGACAUUCUUUCCACGGCUAGGGUUAGCUAACUUUAUGGUGUUUUUAUGGCACCUCUGGAACCUGUUGACCUGUGUCUGACCUCCGUCUGACCACAGUCAAUGGGUAUUGUUAAUGUUUGUUUCUCUGAGAAUGCUGUGGAGGAUUCGGCAGAAGCGGACAAGUGACAUGAGUAAAACGAAUAAGAGAUUACGAUAUUUAUGGAAUAGUUUAUUAUGGGCUCAUUUGCUGGCCACUUUUGGACCCAUAAUAAAUAUAUGAGUGGAGUGACUUUGCUUAAGAGAAGUCACCGAUUACAUUAAUGUUAACUGAGCACAUGGGAUGAUCCAUGUUUGAGGCGAAUUAUGGUAAUGAUAGUGAUUUAAUGAUUUGAGAAAACCUGCACAUGACACUUGUCUCGCCCGUGCUGAAUGCGUGUUACUUUUUUGAUAUAAUUGUUUAUACGUGUGAAGUUUGAUUUUAUUCCAGAUUUUGUGUAUGCAGGCUCCUGGUGGAGCCAGUUUUUAAGACAGGGAUCCAGGUUUGGUGAGUUGAUGCAUGAGAAGUGUCCAUGCGUCAAGAGGUGGGGUCCAGAAUUAAUAUUAAACAAUGUUUACUAUUAUUGUUGCAGUGAUUUGUGUGAUUAGCUGUUUAUUUACAAGUAUUAAACCUAUGCAAGUGGUGCAUCCAUGUUCAGAUGAGGCUUUGAUGGCCUAUAAGUGAAGUUCACUGAUUAUAAUGUGGAAUGACGUUGAGAUGUUAAAUAAUUUGGAACAAAUUAUGGGAAAAAGUAGAAGUUUAAUGAGUUUAGAAUAAACCUGCAAUGAUACUUGUCUCUGUGAUGCUGAAUACUUUAUUACUCUUAUGAUCUAUAGUUGGUUGCAAAUGUGAAGUUGUUUAAAUUUAAGACUUUGUCUUCUGUGAUACAGGAGCUGGGAGUUAAACAAGCUGAACAUUUAAGUGCUGAUUAAUGUUCUUACACAGGGUUACAGCUUGGAGUGAAGCUGCUCCAAGGGACAAACCCUGGAGAUUGUUUUAGGGAGACUGUGCAACACUCUUGUACAUGUCUCAUUGGGGAGUUGACACAUGGCGAAAGCCGUGUGGCGAGAGGAGUGUCAUUUUUUAAUUUGUAGAUAUCGUGAGGUGCCAUGAUGAGAAGGAGUGACUGAGAGGAUCGUCCACAAGAUGGAAGCUGAGGCCAGGAGAGAGUUUUCAGGAGGAUCGGAGAUCACCUUCAGCACAGAGAGCUGUGCUACUGGGCUUCCAAAGGAUUGUCACAAGGAGACUUUCAGCGUUGGAAAAUGGAACCUGAGGGAGCGUGCCAAGCUCCAAAAAGUGACAGCGCAGAGGAGGUCCAGCGAUGGACUUGUGGUUCUGUGAACAGCACAAAUGCCAGGAGCAGAGCCUGAAGUCUGGAGAUUGGAUGAUGAUAAGGCCAUGGAGAGGAAGUGCUGGUCCAGUCCAUGGUGGGAAGGUCCAUAUCGGAUGCUGCUGACGACGACCACAGCAGUGAAGAUUGCUGGAAGGAACACUUGGAUAUAUCAAGCGCACUGCAAGAAGGUGACACACAUCCAGGCCAGCUCGGAGUAAGUGGCAGGAAGACCGGGAACAAAGGGGGGGGAAAGCCUCCAGGGCCCCUCGUCUCAAUCCGGUGAAGAAACCAACUGAGCCACAGGUACUCAUCAGAAUGGCUGGGAAUGUGCUGUGCAUCUUCUUGUGCCUGUGGACCCUGAGUGGGAUGACAGGGAGCGCACUGGAACAGAGCAAACCACACCCAGUACCAGCAUGGGUUUUCAACAACUACUGGUGGCAGUUUAAGAACACAACCGCUCACAUAAACAACGAGACCAAUGGUUAUGCUUGUGAUGCCACUGGCUACACAUUCUUCUGGACUGUGGCCCUGUAGCAUCACUGAGAGCGAGACAGUUUGUCUGGUUGCUUUAGCAACACAUCCGGGAACACUGCCAACUUUUCAACUGCUCUGAACCUGAAUGGAAGGUUGAUUCACCAGUAGCUGGGAAGGUGAACUGCUCUGGUAGGACAGACCUGCUCGUCUGACUCAAAGAAUAUGACUUGUUGAAGGACAUUAUACAGUUAAACGAACUGGAAACAGGCCAAUUGCCUAUGUGUAUGAAGGACAAUGGAUUAGCCCAAGUUGGAGAUUAACCAUGGAACAUGGCAACAUCACCUAUUCUUUUGUCUUCUGCAAGAAGGAUGUAAACAGAGAAGCCUUUUGUCUACAUUUACAUCAUGAACACUUGGGGUUUUGAGCCAAGAAGAUCAAAACACCUUGAUCCAAUUUCCUUUACAAAGCUUUUUCUGUGGUGACAACAGGACAGGAGAAGAGUUGUAAAUGCAGAUAAUUCACCAGUUGACUCUAACCCCCACAGGAUGCCUACAGUGAGAAGAUUUGGGGGGUUGAUAGGAGUCAUAAAGAAGGGUGUUGACUUGCUGCAGCUUUGAAGUUAGCUGAGAGCCAUAUGGACAAACAAUAAAGUCAACUGAUGCGUUUAAAUACCUAUGUCUGUAUACAGUUGGAUUGUAGUGACACAUGAUUUUUGAGAAUGAUGAUUCUUCUUGUUUGACCUUUGACAUUCAGUUGUUUACUUGAAGAAAUACAUAAUGAAUUGCACGACAGGAGUAGAUCCGCCACAAGGCUGGAUAGCUUGGUUACCGUCUGGUCCUUGGUGGCAUCUUCUUUUGAAAAUAUUAAUUCCUGUUUUUGAACUGUUGACAUUGAUUUGCUUAUGUAUAGGAUGUAGUUUACUGUGCAUGAAUGAAAUCUACACUGACACUGUCUGAACAAAGGGUGCAUAAGUUGAAAUUUAAGAACAAUGACAAAAAGGAGGGAAAUGUUAAGUCUAAUUGUUGAAUGUUGCCAUUGUGUUUCUUAAAUUUGUACAGUCUUAGUUUAAGCAGUAGGAUCAAAGCCAUUCCUUUGAUUCUGACCACCUCUCCAGCCACUCUGUGCUGGGGGAGGUUUUAUUGUAGAUACAUCCUAUCUGAAAGAUCUGUUUCUUUUGAUGUAAGCUUCCUGGGUUUAUGACCCUUUGGUCAGCAGGAGGUAACACACACACACACACACCACACACACACACACUCAGUGUAUACAUUUACAUACAGUGCCUUGUCUUUGUAACCAAAGGGGGGUUGCAAGGGGAGGUGCUUUGUAAACUAUUGUUUGAAGUUUGUCAAUAAAAGGCAGCGAGAGGAGGCCACCAUUUUUUGGGGGUUCUUUGUCGUGCUGGACACAGACGAGGCCUCCCUUGUGCAAGUAAUGGAUCGAUCGACUGUCUUGUUUUCUUCAUGAUGAAUAAGUCUCUAGAAUUAGCGGGGUUUGUGGAAACACAGACCCAACAUGUAUGUAGUAAGAAUAGAUUCAAUAUUCCUUAUUUACUAGUGUUGUUGUUCUGUUUGUUGAGAUAAGAUAAGAUAAGAUAAAAUAAGAUAAGAUAAGAUAAGAUAAGAUAAGAUACCUUUAUUAGUCCCACGAGUGGGAAAUUUCGUAAACCACUCUGCACAAAUCUGAACAGGACACAAAUGUGUUAAUAUACAUAUAUGUUUAUACAUCAAAAAUACUGUGAACAGUUACAAACAAUAAAAUUAUGAGAUUAGACACCAAGUCUCCCCUCGGUUAUCCGGCAUCUUCCCAACACAAACACUGUAAACCAGUCACUUUAGGAAACGGGACUUUUAAAGAAAUUAAUAACAUUCAUUCAUUUUAUCCAUUUAAUUAAACAUUAAAUGGAUAAAAAAUGUGGGUAGUG
ensembl:lncRNA